GACGAACGCUGGCGGCGUGCUUAACACAUGCAAGUCGAACGGAAAGGCCCUGCUUUUGUGGGGUGCUCGAGUGGCGAACGGGUGAGUAACACGUGAGUAACCUGCCCUUGACUUUGGGAUAACUUCAGGAAACUGGGGCUAAUACCGGAUAGGAGCUCCUGCUGCAUGGUGGGGGUUGGAAAGUUUCGGCGGUUGGGGAUGGACUCGCGGCUUAUCAGCUUGUUGGUGGGGUAGUGGCUUACCAAGGCUUUGACGGGUAGCCGGCCUGAGGGGGUGACCGGCCACAUUGGGACUGAGAUACGGCCCAGACUCCUACGGGAGGCAGCAGUGGGGAAUAUUGCACAAUGGGCGGAAGUCUGAUGCAGCAACGCCGCGUGCGGGAUGACGGCCUUCGGGUUGUAAACCGCUUUCGCCUGUGACGAAGCGUGAGUGACGGUAAUGGGUAAAGAAGCACCGGCUAACUACGUGCCAGCAGCCGCGGUGAUACGUAGGGUGCGAGCGUUGUCCGGAUUUAUUGGGCGUAAAGGGCUCGUAGGUGGUUGAUCGCGUCGGAAGUGUAAUCUUGGGGCUUAACCCUGAGCGUGCUUUCGAUACGGGUUGACUUGAGGAAGGUAGGGGAGAAUGGAAUUCCUGGUGGAGCGGUGGAAUGCGCAGAUAUCAGGAGGAACACCAGUGGCGAAGGCGGUUCUCUGGGCCUUUCCUGACGCUGAGGAGCGAAAGCGUGGGGAGCGAACAGGCUUAGAUACCCUGGUAGUCCACGCUGUAAACGGUGGGUACUAGGUGUGGGGUCCAUUCCACGGGUUCCGUGCCGUAGCUAACGCUUUAAGUACCCCGCCUGGGGAGUACGGCCGCAAGGCUAAAACUCAAAGGAAUUGACGGGGCCCCGCACAAGCGGCGGAGCAUGCGGAUUAAUUCGAUGCAACGCGUAGAACCUUACCUGGGUUUGACAUGGAUCGGGAGCGCUCAGAGAUGGGUGUGCCUCUUUUGGGGUCGGUUCACAGGUGGUGCAUGGCUGUCGUCAGCUCGUGUCGUGAGAUGUUGGGUUAAGUCCCGCAACGAGCGCAACCCUUGUUCACUGUUGCCAGCACGUUAUGGUGGGGACUCAGUGGAGACCGCCGGGGUCAACUCGGAGGAAGGUGGGGAUGACGUCAAGUCAUCAUGCCCCUUAUGUCCAGGGCUUCACGCAUGCUACAAUGGCUGGUACAGAGAGUGGCGAGCCUGUGAGGGUGAGCGAAUCUCGGAAAGCCGGUCUCAGUUCGGAUUGGGGUCUGCAACUCGACCUCAUGAAGUCGGAGUCGCUAGUAAUCGCAGAUCAGCAACGCUGCGGUGAAUACGCUCCCGGGGCU
rnacentral:rRNA from 1 species